rnacentral:rRNA from 1 species
AACACAUGCAAGUCGAACGAGAAAGCCCCUUCGGGGGUAAGUANAGUGGCGCNCGGGUGAGUAACACGUGGAUAAUCUGCCUGAUAAUCUGGGAUAACAUCUCGAAAGGGAUGCUAAUACCGGAUAAGCCCNCAGCCUUUUNGGAGGCAGCGGGAAAANAUGGCCUCUUCUUGAAAGCUAUUGUUAUCAGAUGAGUCCGCGGUCCAUUAGCUAGUUGGUAGGGUAAUGGCCUACCAAGGCGACGAUGGAUAGCUGGUUUGAGAGAAUGAUCAGCCACCCUGGAACUGAGACACGGUCCAGACUCCUACGGGAGGCAGCAGUGGGGAAUUUUGCGCAAUGGGGGAAACCCUGACGCAGCAACGCCGCGUGAGUGAUGAAGGUUUUCGGAUCGUAAAGCUCUGUCAAGAGGGAAGAAACCUCAGAAAGCUAAUACCUUUCUGACUUGACGGUACCUCUAGAGGAAGCACCGGCUAACUCCGUGCCAGCAGCCGCGGUAAUAC